rnacentral:rRNA from 1 species
AGGUAAGCUACUAAGAGCGAAUGGUGGAUGCCUUGACUGGUAAAGGCGAUGAAGGACGUACUAGACUGCGAUAAGCUACGGGGAGCUGUCAAGAAGCUUUGAUCCGUAGAUUUCCGAAUGGGGCAACCCAAUGUAUAGAGAUAUACAUUACCUAUAUAGGAGCGAACGAGGGGAAUUGAAACAUCUUAGUACCCUCAGGAAAAGAAAUCAAUAGAGAUUGCGUCAGUAGCGGCGAGCGAAAGCGCAAGAGGGCAAACCCAGUGCUUGCACUGGGGGUUGUAGGACUGCAAUGUGCAAGAGGUGAGUUUAGCAGAACAUUCUGGAAAGUAUAGCCAUAGAGGGUGAUAGUCCCGUAUGCGAAAAACAAACCUUAGCUAGCAGUAUCCUGAGUAGGGCGGGACACGAGGAAUCCUGUCUGAAUCCGGGUCGACCACGAUCCAACCCUAAAUACUAAUACCAGAUCGAUAGUGCACAAGUACCGUGAGGGAAAGGUGAAAAGAACUGAGGUGAUCAGAGUGAAAUAGAACCUGAAACCAUUUGCUUACAAUCAUUCAGAGCCCUAUGUAGCAAUACAGGGUGAUGGACUGCCUUUUGCAUAAUGAGCCUGCGAGUUGUGGUGUCUGGCAAGGUUAAGCAAACGCGAAGCCGUAGCGAAAGCGAGUCUGAAUAGGGCGCUUAGUCAGAUGCUGCAGACCCGAAACGAAGUGAUCUAUCCAUGAGCAAGUUGAAGCUAGUGUAAGAACUAGUGGAGGACUGAACCCAUAGGCGUUGAAAAGCCCCGGGAUGACUUGUGGAUAGGGGUGAAAGGCCAAUCAAACUUCGUGAUAGCUGGUUCUCUCCGAAAUAUAUUUAGGUAUAGCGUUGUGUCGUAAUAUAAGGGGGUAGAGCACUGAAUGGGCUAGGGCAUACACCAAUGUACCAAACCCUAUCAAACUCCGAAUACCUUAUAUGUAAUCACAGCAGUCAGGCGGCGAGUGAUAAAAUCCGUCGUCAAGAGGGAAACAACCCAGACUACCAGCUAAGGUCCCUAAAUCUUACUUAAGUGGAAAACGAUGUGAAGUUACUUAAACAACCAGGAGGUUGGCUUAGAAGCAGCCAUCCUUUAAAGAAAGCGUAAUAGCUCACUGGUCUAGUGAUUUUGCGCGGAAAAUAUAACGGGGCUAAAGUAAGUACCGAAGCUGUAGACUUAGUUUACUAAGUGGU